UACAGAGGUCCCAAGCGUUGUUCGGAUUCACUGGGCGUAAAGGGUGCGUAGGCGGUCGGGUAAGUCUGAUGUGAAAUCUCACAGCUUAACUGUGAAACUGCAUUGGAUACUAUCCGGCUCGAGGAAUGGAGGGAGACUGGAAUACUUGGUGUAGCAGUGAAUGCGUAGAUACCAAGUGGAACACCAGUGGCGAAGGCGAGUCUCUGGACAUUUCCUGACGCUGAGGCACGAAAGCCAGGGAGCAAACGGG
rnacentral:rRNA from 1 species